rnacentral:tRNA from 2 species
GGGCGCUUAGCUCAGCUGGUUUAGAGCAUCUGCCUUACAAGCAGAGGGUCCGGGGUUCGAAUCCCUGAGCGCCCA